rnacentral:rRNA from 1 species
UAGGGAAUUUUCGGCAAGGGGGGGAACCCUGACCGAGCGAUGCCGCGUGAGUGAUGAAGGUCUUCGGACUGUAAAACUCUGUUAUUAGGGAAGAAUACUAUAGGGAGGAAAUGCCUUAUAGAUGACGGUACCUAAUGAGGAAGCCCCGGCCAACUUAUGUG